GUGCCUACUCUAAUGGUUUGCCAUGAUUUGCCUCGGGGUUCCUGUGUUGCCUACCACUGAGAAUGGUAUUUUGAUUAUCUUGGAUUAUUUGUUCCGUCCGGGUCUCCUUGUGGAGAUGAUGGUGGAUUCAGUACAACGCAUGCGUUCCACAUGACUCUGAGAGACUAUUGUGGUAACAACUGCGGUUGUUGUUCUUUUGGAUGCGGUGAGUGCAUGCAACGGAUGUGGCUUCCAUUGUCCCGUUCAGUUAUAAAUAUUCCGUUGCCUUAAAAUGACUUUGCCCUGGUGC
rnacentral:misc_RNA from 1 species